UCAGAAGGAACGCUGGCAGCGUGCAUAACACAUGCAAGUCGAACGAUGAAGCAUUCUUCGGAAUGUGGAAGAGUGGCGAACGGGUGAGGAACACGUAAGAAUCUGCCCCUCGGUCGGGGACAACUUUUGGAAACGAAAGCUAAUACCCGAUACGCUGUGGAGUGAAAGAAUUUCGCCGAGGGAUGAUCUUGCGUCUGAUUAGCUAGUUGGUGCGAUAAUGGCGCACCAAGGCGACGAUCAGUAGCUGGUCUGAGAGGAUGAACAGCCACAUUGGAACUGAGACACGGUCCAAACUCCUACGGGAGGCAGCAGUGGGGAAUUUUCCGCAAUGGACGAAAGUCUGACGGAGCGACGCUGCGUGAAGGAUGACGGCCUGCGGGUUGUAAACUUCUUUUCUCGAAGAAGAAGCUCUGACGGUAUUCGAGGAAUAAGCAUCGGCUAACUCCGUGCCAGCAGCCGCGGUAAGACGGAGGAUGCAAGUGUUAUUCGGAAUGAUUGGGCGUAAAGCGUCUGUAGGCUGUAUAGAAAGUCUUUUGUUAAAUGCCUCGGCUCAACCGAGAUCCAGCAAAGGAAACUUCUAUACUUGAGGUAAGUAGAGGUACAGGGAAUUCCCGGUGGAGCGGUGAAAUGCGUAGAUAUCGGGAGGAACACCAAUAUGGCGAAGGCACUGUACUGGGCUUUACCUGACGCUCAGAGACGAAAGCUAAAGGAGUGAUUAGGAUUAGAUACCCUAGUAAUUUUAGCCGUAAACGAUGAAAACUCACUGCCGAGCGAAAUACAACGAGCGGUGGUCAAGCUAACGCGUGAAGUUUUCCGCCUGGGGAUUA
rnacentral:rRNA from 1 species